GAUGAACGCUGGCGGCGUGCCUAAUACAUGCAAGUCGAGCGAAUGGAUUAAGAGCUUGCUCUUAUGAAGUUAGCGGCGGACGGGUGAGUAACACGUGGGUAACCUGCCCAUAAGACUGGGAUAACUCCGGGAAACCGGGGCUAAUACCGGAUAACAUUUUGAACCGCAUGGUUCGAAAUUGAAAGGCGGCUUCGGCUGUCACUUAUGGAUGGACCCGCGUCGCAUUAGCUAGUUGGUGAGGUAACGGCUCACCAAGGCAACGAUGCGUAGCCGACCUGAGAGGGUGAUCGGCCACACUGGGACUGAGACACGGCCCAGCCUCCGCCGGGAGGCAGCAGUAGGGAAUCUUCCGCAAUGGACGAAAGUCUGACGGAGCAACGCCGCGUGAGUGAUGAAGGCUUUCGGGUCGUAAAACUCUGUUGUUAGGGAAGAACAAGUGCUAGUUGAAUAAGCUGGCACCUUGACGGUACCUAACCAGAAAGCCACGGCUAACUACGUGCCAGCCGCCGCAGUAA
rnacentral:rRNA from 1 species